UACGAAGGGUCCAAGCGUUGUUCGGAAUCAUUGGGCGUAAAGCGCGCGCAGGCGGAUCAGCAAGUCAGGUGUGAAAUCUCGAGGCUCAACCUCGAAACUGCGCCUGAAACUGCUAGUCUAGAAUGUCGGAGGGGGUAGGGGAAUUUCACGUGUAGGGGUAAAAUCCGUAGAGAUGUGAAGGAACACCGGGGGCGAAGGCGCCUACCUGGACGACUAUUGACGCUGAGGCGCGAAAGCGUGGGGAGCAAACAGG
rnacentral:rRNA from 1 species